GAUCAUGGCUCAGAUUGAACGCUGGCGGCAUGCUUUACACAUGCAAGUCGAACGGUAACAGGCCUUCGGGUGCUGACGAGUGGCGAACGGGUGAGUAAUGCAUCGGAACGUGCCCAAUCGGUGGGGGAUAACGUAGCGAAAGUUACGCUAAUACCGCAUAAGCCCUGAGGGGGAAAGCAGGGGAUCGCAAGACCUUGCGCGAAUGGAGCGGCCGAUGUCAGAUUAGCUAGUUGGUGGGGUAAAGGCCUACCAAGGCGACGAUCCGUAGCUGGUCUGAGAGGAUGAUCAGCCACACUGGGACUGAGACACGGCCCAGACUCCUACGGGAGGCAGCAGUGGGGAAUAUUGGACAAUGGGCGAAAGCCUGAUCCAGCCAUGCCGCGUGAGUGACGAAGGCCUUAGGGUUGUAAAGCUCUUUUGGCGGGGACGAUAAUGACGGUACCCGCAGAAUAAGCCCCGGCUAACUUCGUG
rnacentral:rRNA from 1 species